ensembl:lncRNA
GUUUAGGGUUCUUUACUGCUGGUAGGAAACAGAAAGAGAGCUGCAGUGGUGAAUUAUUGGCAUGGCAUUACUCCUGGGACCCCAAAAAAGAAAUCCUAUUAAAGAGAGUCCUUGUGAUCUCAUCGCUGUGUAUUUCAUGACUCUUCAAGAGGCUCUGCUAAAGUCAUUCCCAGAAAAUUUCCCCUGGAAAGGCUCAGGGGAGAAAGAAGCUGGAUCACCCUCUGGUCUGUUUACCAUUUACAGCUUCUGGAAGCAAAAGAGGUUUUUUUCUACAAGCAGCUCCGCUGUGUAAAGAAGCCUGGAGAUUCCAGGAGGAGAAAGCCAAGGCAGCAGGAUGCAAUAUUUCACUGCUCAGCCCUUCCUGGGCAGCCCUCAGGGCACAGUGCAGCUUCACGUGUUCCAUGGACACUGCUGACACUCUGCCUACUGCAACAAUUCUGUUCAACAGCCACAGUCAAAAGCCUCAGUGUGAAUCAGGACAAACCCCACAAAUGCCUGAAAUCUUAAAUAAUCAUGAGAUCCCUAAGCAGAGGGUCAGAGAGAGCCAUCUCCAAGGCAGAGAAACUGAGCCAGAGAUUAAGAAGUUAAGUGACUUGCCCAAGGCCAUGAAGAGAAGCAAAGUGAGAAUAAGGACUAACAAGCAGGAAUUCCCAGCAUCCCUGCAGGCUACAAGGCCCUUUCCUAUCCACCGUUUCCACAAUUCCCAAAUCAGUUCCACUUGAUUCCAAUGGCUUCAGAAGAGAUAAUCUGAUAAAGAGACCUGCCUGACAGAGAAUACAUUGUGUGUGCAACAAAGAUUUCAAGAGUUAUCUUGAUUUUUAGAGCUUGGCUGCACUCUCUUUUUCAACUUUAUCUUCGAAUUAGCAUACAGGCAUCCAAAACAUCUUGAUGCAGUAAAAAAAAAAAAAAAAAAAAAAAAAAAAAAAUUAGGUUUCUCUGUUCCUGUCUAAAGCAAAGCCCUGGAAACAGCCCGGGAACAGCCAGGAUGUUUCAGCAGCCAGCGUAUCACGCCAGUCUCUGUUCUGUACUGAAGGUCUCCCCCAUCCCAGCUGCUGCUGCUGCUACACUGUGAACCGACAGGAAGGGAAGCCAGGGACUGCUCCCGUGGCUUGGAAAGACAAGGCUCGCUGUGCCACCUGCAGGGCUGGCUGGAAAAGAUGCCUCUCGUAGGGAUUAGCACCGGCUCCAAGGCGGGGGCACCGUUUCCAUCCAGGAUGGAGCAGCCUCACUGCAGCUAAUUAGUGUAAGCAAGAGCAGAACACGGACUAGAGAAUGAUCCUGUCUAGUUCCAUUGGGUGGUUUCACUCCAUUCCUGCCUGCGCUCACCUACCUGGAAAAUUUAUGUUCUGUUGAAUGAGGGAAACUGAAAAACAAACACAAAUGAGAAUCAAAUCCAAGUUAUGCAGUUUACACACAAGUUCUAUGGAACUUGUACCUGUACCUACUCCUGCCUGUAACCUAGCCGUUUCCCCCUGCACUGAGCUGCAGUUCUUCACGAGGACUCUCUCCUUUUAUUUUACUUCUGAUUUAAUGCAAUUAUCUCCCCACUAAUGCAUCUCCAAAUGCACACCUCUACCUUUGUGUUUUGCUGGAGCAAAUGGCCUGAACAAAGAAGUUCAGAAAUUGACCUAAAUAUACCUAAAACUAAUCCAGGAAAAUAUCAAAGUUUGGCAGGAAGGUUAAAAAUACGUGUUCCAUUUUGGCUGAGGUCUUCUUUGCCUUUUUUAUUGGUUGUGAGCACUUGCAGUGGAGGAGCGCAGCAGUCAGAAGCUGAGAGAGAUCUGUUAAGUCAUUGUGCCUUCACUCAUGGUGAUCUCUGCUGGACAGGCACUCCCAAAUAAUGAAAUCCUCUUUAUCUGAUCCUUCUGCCAACAUAUGCUUAUUCCCCACCACACUGAUUGCUCCUGCUUUCUGCAGCAUGCUUUAAAUGUCCCAAGAGAUGGGGGUUCUACCACUUUCACUAAAAAAUCGUUUACACAGCCUGGUAGAUUUGGCCCCUGGGGAGGCUUUUUUAUUGUGUUUGGUUUCAGUGAGAGCCUCGGAGGUGUCGGUCAGUGAUUGAUUAUUGUUUGUAUUGUGGUAGCACCUACAGGCACCCGCUGAAACUGCAGACCUGCUCGAAGGUGCUGCCGAGCCCAAAUUCCUGGAGGAAGGACAGCUCAUCCAAGCAGAGGCACAGGGAGAGAAACUGAUUUCCCAAGCCCAAGCAGUGGCACUUGCAUGCAGUGAGGAGUGGAGACAAGCUGCUCUAAACCUGAUUCCUGCAUUCCCACCUGGGCACAGCAUCCCCAACAGCACCUCGAGUGUCCAGGCAAUGUGUACAUGCCCACAGGAGUUGUUCUGAUGAAAGAAGCACAAAAACAAUAAUCCCAUGACAACCAAACCCCAUUAGGGCUGAGGGUGGUUUUACAGGGCCCCAGUGCUGCAGCACAAGCC